GAGGGUAUUGCUCAGUGGUAGAGUGCAUGCUUAGCAUGUGUGAGGUCCUGGGUUCAAUUCCCAGUACCUCCA
rnacentral:tRNA from 1 species